CCUCCAAUGCCGUCACCGACUACAUGGUUCGGAACAACGUCGUGCCGUCGGAGGAAUAUGCCAGACAAAAUCUGGUCAGCAUCAACAUAUGGUACGAACGGUUGAUUGUACAUAAGCUUGAAUACGAACCGGAGUACACACUGACCUCGAUGGUGGGCACCCUGGGAGGUCAGAUGGGUUUCUUCCUCGGGGCGAGCAUUGUGACGCUGUAUGAAGUGUUUGAAGCCUGUUUACGCUCGACCAAGGCCAUUGCCAGACAGUGGAUUAUUCG